CCUACGGGAGGCAGCAGUGGGGAAUAUUGCACAAUGGGGGAAACCCUGAUGCAGCGACGCCGCGUGAGGGAAGAAGUAUUUCGGUAUGGAAAGCUCUAUCAGCAGGGAAGAAAAUGACGGUACCUGACUAAGAAGCCACGGCUAACUACGUGCCAGCAGGCGCGGUAAUACGUCGGGGGCAAGCGUUAUCCGGAUUUACUGGGUGUAAAGGGAGCGUAGACGGCCAGACAAGUCAGAAGUGAAAGCCCUGGGCUCAACCCUGGGACUGCCUCUGAUACUGUCGGGCUGGAGUGCAGUAGAGGUAGGCGGAAUGCCUGGUGUAGCGGUGAAAUGCUUAGAGAUUAGGAGGAACACCAGUGGCGAAGGCAGCUUACUGGACUGUAUCUGACGUUGAGGCUCGAAAGCGUGGGGAGCAAACAGGAUUAGAUACCCCUGUAGUC
rnacentral:rRNA from 1 species